AACGACAUUGUUGCAAAUGCAUGCCUGAAAUUAUCAUCCAACAUGAGAUUAAUUAAAAUCAUUUACCAUGUCUGGAAGAAACUUAAAAGAAAUGCAAAUAUAAAAAAUCUUCCAUCUAUAUUAGAACAAGAAUAAGUUCAUUAACUGAUGGGAGAGGAGAAAUCUCUAUGGAGCAACAAAAUGGAAAAUAGAGGUCAUUAAAAUAA
rnacentral:misc_RNA from 1 species